ACGGGGGGUGCAAGCGUUGUUCGGAAUUAUUGGGCGUAAAGAGCACGCAGGCGGCCGGAUAAGUCAGAUGUGAAAUCCCCGGGCUUAACCCGGGAAGUGCAUUUGAAACUGUCUGGCUAGAGUAGGGUAGAGGGGGGUAGAAUUCCAGGUGUAGAGGUGAAAUGCGUAGAUAUCAGGAGGAACACCGGUGGCGAAGGCGGCUCCCUGGCCAAAGACUGACGCUCAGGUGCGAGAGCGUGGGGAGCAAACAG
rnacentral:rRNA from 1 species